UGCAAUGAGAGUUGUACUAAGGUAGCGUGAUAGUUUGUUUUUUAAUUGGAAAAUGGAAUGAAUGGUUUAACGUAAAAAAUCUGUCUAUUUAAAAUAAAGUGAAGUUUCCUUUUAAGUUAAAAGGCUUAAUUUUUUGUAAAAGACGAGAAGACCCUGCGAGCUUGAAUAUAAAUAAUGAUUUUUUUAUUUUAAAGUUUUGUUGGGGCAAUAUAAGAUAAAAUAAACAUCUUAUUAAAAUAAAAAUCCUUUUUGAAAGAAAAUAGAAGAAGCUACCGCAGGGAUAACAGCGUUAUUUUUUCUAAGAGAUCUUAUUGAGGAAAAAGUUUGCGACCUCGAUGUUGGAUUAU
rnacentral:rRNA from 1 species